rnacentral:rRNA from 1 species
GGGGUGCUCGAGUGGCGAACGGGUGAGUAACACGUGAGUAACCUGCCCUUGACUUUGGGAUAACUUCAGGAAACUGGGGCUAAUACCGGAUAGGAGCUCCUGCUGCAUGGUGGGGGUUGGAAAGUUUCGGCGGUUGGGGAUGGACUCGCGGCUUAUCAGCUUGUUGGUGAGGUAGUGGCUUACCAAGGCUUUGACGGGUAGCCGGCCUGAGAGGGUGACCGGCCACAUUGGGACUGAGAUACGGCCCAG